ACACAAGUUCUAUAAAAACUCUGACACGACUUCGAUCGGAUCAUUUCAGCGAUGACAAAGUUCUCCUGUUUUUUGGUUCUGUUGUGCGGUUUUGCCGUCUCAUUCUUGCUGUUGGCUUGUAAUCCAGAAGUGGAAGCUCUAGCGCCCAUGCCCCCAGGCUCCAUAAACAUGGCCAGAAGAUCAAGACCAGAGUUUCUUCAUUCCCGAAGAAGCAUCUGUGAGGCAGCUCGUGCUCUGAAUUGCCAGAGAGACGACUCAUAGUAAGAGCAGCUGAAAACACGAAGGGACUUAUGCACUGAAAGAAAAAAAAAAAUCGAGCGCCUUGAUCUAAAUUGUCAAUAAAGUGAAUGAAAGCUUAAUGAGAA